CCGCUUCCCGCCUCCCCCUCAGCCGCGCGCCGGAAGUGACGCGCCGCGCGGGCGCCGGCUUCCGUCGGUGGCGGCGGCCAUGGGCAGGAAGGAGCGGGAGAAGAAGAAGUCCAAGAAGCGCCAUCACGAUGAGGACGAGGAGGAUGAAGAUGAAGGGCCCGGCAGGGAGUCGCAGGAGGCCGUGCCCUCGGCGGCGGGGAAGCAGGUGGAGGACAGCGGCACCAAACUGGACGAGUACGGGGCCAAGGACUACCGGCAGCAGAUGCCCCUGAAGGCCGACCACCCCUCGCGGCCUCUCUGGGUGGCUCCCGAUGGCCAUAUUUUUCUGGAAGCCUUUUCUCCAGUUUACAAAUACGCCCAGGAUUUUUUGGUUGCCAUUGCUGAGCCCGUGUGCAGACCGACCCACAUUCACGAGUACAAGCUGACAGCUUACUCCCUCUACGCUGCCGUCAGCGUCGGCUUGCAAACGAGUGACAUCACAGAGUAUUUACAAAAACUGAGCAAGACCGGUGUCCCAGAUGGAAUAAUUCAGUUUAUCAAGCUGUGUACGGUCAGCUAUGGGAAGGUGAAGCUGGUACUGAAACAUAACAGGUAUUUUGUGGAAAGUACCCACCCUGAUGUCAUUCAGCAGCUUCUGCAAGACCAUGUAAUCAAAGAGUGUCGCCUGCGAAACGCUGAGGGUGAAGAAACAGAGCUCAUUACGGAGACAUUCACAAGUAAAUCUGUGAUUUCCAAAUCCAGUGAAGGUGCCUUUGGUCCAUCAACGUCACAGGCAGCAGAGGCUCAGAAUAAGCCGGAUGUCCCAGCUGACUUGUAUGAGUUCUAUGAACAGAUGGACAAAGAUGAGGAGGAGGAGGAGGAAACGCAGACAGUGUCUUUUGAAGUCAAGCAGGAGAUGAUUGAAGAACUUCAGAAGCGCUGUAUCCAUUUGGAGUACCCCUUGCUGGCAGAGUAUGAUUUCAGAAAUGAUUCUGUGAAUCCUGAUAUUAACAUAGAUCUGAAGCCUACAGCUGUCCUCAGGCCCUAUCAAGAGAAAAGCCUACGGAAGAUGUUUGGAAAUGGGCGAGCCAGAUCUGGCGUUAUUGUCUUGCCGUGUGGUGCUGGCAAGUCUCUGGUUGGUGUGACAGCCGCCUGCACCGUCCGCAAGCGCUGUCUGGUCCUUGGCAACUCGGCGGUGUCGGUGGAGCAGUGGAAAGCCCAGUUCAAGAUGUGGUCCACCAUCGACGACAGUCAGAUAUGUCGCUUCACUUCCGACGCCAAAGACAAGCCCAUUGGCUGUUCCAUUGCCAUCAGCACCUACUCCAUGUUGGGACACACCACGAAAAGAUCCUGGGAAGCGGAGAGAGUAAUGGAGUGGCUUAAAAGUCAAGAGUGGGGCCUUAUGAUACUUGAUGAAGUACAUACCAUCCCUGCGAAAAUGUUCAGACGUGUGCUCACUAUUGUACAAGCUCACUGUAAGCUGGGGCUGACUGCUACCCUGGUCAGAGAAGAUGAUAAAAUUGUUGACCUGAACUUCCUGAUCGGACCAAAGCUCUAUGAAGCCAACUGGAUGGAGCUGCAGAACAGUGGCUACAUUGCUAAAGUCCAGUGUGCUGAGGUUUGGUGCCCAAUGUCACCUGAAUUUUACAGAGAAUACGUCGCCAUCAAAACAAAGAAGCGGAUACUGCUGUACACCAUGAACCCAAAUAAAUUCAGAGCCUGCCAGUUCCUGAUUAAGUUUCAUGAGCGACGGAAUGAUAAAAUCAUCGUAUUUGCUGACAAUGUGUUUGCACUGAAGGAGUACGCCGUCAGGCUCGGGAAACCCUAUAUAUAUGGUCCUACCGCACAAGGAGAAAGAAUGCAAAUUCUACAAAACUUCAAGCACAACCCAAAAAUCAACACUAUUUUCAUUUCCAAGGUAGGUGACACGUCCUUCGAUCUGCCGGAAGCCAAUGUUCUGAUUCAGAUAUCGUCCCAUGGUGGGUCUCGAAGACAGGAGGCUCAAAGACUGGGACGAGUGCUGAGAGCCAAGAAAGGCAUGGUGGCAGAGGAAUACAAUGCCUUUUUUUAUUCUCUUGUAUCCCAAGACACUCAGGAAAUGGCAUAUUCAACGAAACGACAACGGUUUCUUGUAGAUCAAGGUUAUAGCUUCAAGGUAACUUGUCCCUUCUAUUAUACUUGCGGCCUAAGAAUAUAACUUUCAUAUCCUUUCAUGUUAGUAUUAGGUCAAAUACUUGAAAAUUCCAGUUGUGGAAUGUAUUAAUGAAGGUUUUCCUCACAAGCAAGAACUGUUCCAGUGUUGUUUUGUCAUCUGUAUUGCUGUGAGGGUAGACAGAAGUAGCUCAGUACAGCUUCUAGGAAGGUAAGUAUUCUAACUUCAAAGCAAGCACCUCCCGGGGAGUGAAGCAGAACAUAACUUGCAUGGUUGGUUUAUGUUCAUGCUCUUCAAUUGUCCAUCCUGCUAUACGUUAUCAUACUGGUUGUGCACAAAGCCUUGUUGGUAGGUGUUCCUGUUGUAGUGGCCAGCAGUGAUUCAGAAAACUUCCAGAACAUCUCAAGUCACAACUAAUUUCCAGAGAGCUCCUGUCUCAGGCCAGUAUUUCACUAUGGGGAGGACAUCUUUUUCCUUGUGGCUAACGACUAAAAUGGGCAGGAUUCAUCCAUCCUACCUUCAUACAGACUCUGAGAAUCAUAGUUAGGUGUCUGAAUUGUCAAGCAACCCAAUCCAAAACAAAUACCUUUCCAGGAUCUUUGUCCACACAAUAAUCUUGUGCACCAUUUCCACCGUGCUGUCCAAAGCCUGCAGUGGUACAGAAAACCAGUGGGGAUGCAGGCAUGUUGGUGCAGUGGCUCUGUGAUAGCAGAAGCUGUUCUGGCCAGUGGAGAUCUUCACGCCGUGCUUAUUUAGAUUCCACCAACAGUUUGACCUUCCUCUUGUAAUUUUCUGAAUGAAUUUUCGGAAUGAAGUAAAUCACCAAACUCACUGGAUUGAAUAUUAAUUGAUCGAGAAAUGACAGAAUUUACUACAGGAAAAGACUGUUACUGCAGAGUAUAAAUCUUCCUACCUACAACUAAAACAUACUCCCUCAAGAUAGAUAACAUUUUCAGUGUUGACAGAGCCAUGACUUGAAAAUCAGAAGUUUCCCCUAAAGUCCCUUUUGUAAAGGGCUGAGUGCUGCCUCAUUUCUCCAGACAUACUUGAAAAUUGAUUACCCCUUGUACUUCAGUUUCCUAUGCAUCUCUUUAUGUUGUCAUCUUCCAAAUACAAAAUCUCAUUCCACCAAAGCUCCUGUAUUUUAUAGAUUGCACAGUGUAUGUAAUUUAUUUUUCUUUUAGUCCAUGGGCUGCCCCAGCGAUUGGAUUGUUGGAGGCAACAGUCUCAUGAUAGCUCUUGCUUUAGGAAGAUUAUUCCUUUACAAAACUGGGUUUUAUUGCUCAUUAGAAGCCUUCCCAAUAAGAGACAUUGCUGAGGAGAAGAAGAAUAAAAGAUAAGGCUCUUGUAUCUCCCCGUAGGGAACAAGCUGAGGCUUGUGGCAUUGACAGAAUCCCGCAGGGGUUGUGGGAGGUGCAAGGGCCAGCAGCCUCUCCUGGAUUGCACUUGGGCCUCGUUACUGGAGAGCUUUUCCUCCUGAGGCAGACGUGCUGUGCAGGACAUCCCUGGGGUGAAACCUCUCCAAACUGCAGCGAUGCUCAAGUAAAUUGCUGCGCUGUCAUCGGUGGCCCAUUAAAGAGAACUUUAAGGGGGUCCUUACACAGAAGCAGACGUGUCACAGUUUAUAGGUAAAAACUACAUUUUGCUUUGUAGUGAAUGUAUUUUGACAGAAUUGUAGCUCAGUACUAAGCUGCAACUAAUUACAGCAAAUGCAUCUAUGUGGCUAUAGCCAAAAAGAUUAAAAAAAUCCCUUUACUUGUGUGUUGAAUGCCUUGGAUUUUAGAACUAAGAAAGAGGUUAAAAUAGAGGGAUUUUAUUUUGCAAGGAAGACCUAGUCCUGGGAGCUUUGGUGUAAUAUGGAAAAAAAAAGCAGUGCAAGUGGCAGCUGAGUAUCUGGAGCUCACCAGUACUGGAAUGUUCUUUAUUUGCAGUUUAGGAACAAAAUGUUAGAGUAUCUAUUUUCUUCUGUUUGCCAAACUUUAAGGCUUAGUCAUAGCUGGCAUCAAAGAAUAAUAGGGCUGGAAGAAACUUCCAAGAAACCAUCUAUUGUGUUUCUUCAUUCCAAGCCAGGAUCAACUAUGUCUGUGUCAUCCCCAGCAGAUGUCUUUCUUACUCUUCCAAAUAUGGAGACUCUACCUCAUCUU